UGGGAGCUUGCUCCCUGAUGUUAGCGGCGGACGGGUGAGUAACACGUGGGUAACCUGCCUGUAAGACUGGGAUAACUCCGGGAAACCGGGGCUAAUACCGGAUGGUUGUUUGAACCGCAUGGUUCAAACAUAAAAGGUGGCUUCGGCUACCACUUACAGAUGGACCCGCGGCGCAUUAGCUAGUUGGUGAGGUAACGGCUCACCAAGGCAACGAUGCGUAGCCGACCUGAGAGGGUGAUCGGCCACACUGGGACUGAGACACGGCCCAGACUCCUACGGGAGGCAGCAGUAGGGAAUCUUCCGCAAUGGACGAAAGUCUGACGGAGCAACGCCGCGUGAGUGAUGAAGGUUUUCGGAUCGUAAAGCUCUGUUGUUAGGGAAGAACAAGUACCGUUCGAAUAGGGCGGUACCUUGACGGUACCUAACCAGAAAGCCACGGCUAACUACGUGCCAGCAGCCGCGGUAAUACGUAGGUGGCAAGCGUUGUCCGGAAUUAUUGGGCGUAAAGGGCUCGCAGGCGGUUUCUUAAGUCUGAUGUGAAAGCCCCCGGCUCAACCGGGGAGGGUCAUUGGAAACUGGGGAACUUGAGUGCAGAAGAGGAGAGUGGAAUUCCACGUGUAGCGGUGAAAUGCGUAGAGAUGUGGAGGAACACCAGUGGC
rnacentral:rRNA from 1 species